rnacentral:rRNA from 1 species
UACAGAGGUGGCAAGCGUUGUUCGGAAUUACUGGGCGUAAAGCGUGCGCAGGCGGUUUUGUAAGCCAGAUGUGAAAUCCCCGGGCUUAACCUGGGAAUGGCAUUUGGGACUGCAAGGCUGGAGUUUGGCAGAGGAGACUGGAAUUCCCGGUGUAGCAGUGAAAUGCGUAGAUAUCGGGAGGAAUACCGAUGGCGAAGGCAGGUCUCUGGGCUAUAACUGACGCUCAUGCACGAAAGCGUGGGGAGCAAACAGG